rnacentral:rRNA from 1 species
GACGUAGGGCGCGAGCGUUGUCCGGAUUUAUUGGGCGUAAAGAGCUCGUAGGCGGCUUGUCGCGUCGACUGUGAAAACCCGCGGCUCAACCGCGGGCCUGCAGCCGAUACGGGCAGGCUAGAGUUCGGUAGGGGAGACUGGAAUUCCUGGUGUAGCGGUGAAAUGCGCAGAUAUCAGGAAGAACACCAAUGGCGAAAGCAGCUUUCUGGGACGGUACUGACGCUGAGACGCGAAAGCGUGGGGAGCGAACAGG